ACUGCCCUUCCCGGGAUGGGAGAAGGGCAGACAAAGAAGAGCGGACCACAAGUUACAUCGCCCCCCCCCCCGGGUCCCGCAUCGGGAUGCUGAGGGGCGAGGGCGCCGGCUCCGCAGUGGCCUCCCGGGUGGGAAGGUUCCCUCGGUGGGACGCAGGUCCCCGCGGCCCAGCGGCCACCGGCGGGCACAGGGCGGCUCUCGGGGUCGCGGGGCUCACCUUGUUGAGAUGCGGGUCCCGCGUCAGCAGAUUGGGAGUGGAACAGAGGGGCCCUGGGAAAACUGCCUUCAUGAUCAUGGUAUUUCCCCUGCCAGGUUGAAGAGCAUGAGAGCUGUUCUGUCUACAGGAAUAAGAACUUUGUCUCUUCAAUAUGGAAGAGUGGUAAAACACAUAAGAGUAUCCAAAUAGCGUAUAGAACAUGCUUUAUUGCUAUGUAACAAGAUUUAAACAGCACUCACCCCAUGCUCUCCUGUGCUUUCUGUGCAUGUCUAAUUGGAGAAUGGCCUGGCUUCUUUCUGCUGGCCCCAGGUUUCUCAACUGCUGCAGUGAGAGUGGUUGGCAUGCCUGUACAGUCUCAGCUACUCAGAAGGCAGGAUUGCUUGAAGCAGGAGUUAUCAGGCCAACCUAGGAGCAUAGUGAGAAAGAGCUUAUCUCAAGAAAGAGGGGAAAGAAGAGAAAAGAAGAGGAGGGCCAUGUUAAGUGAACCAUUGCACACUGCUUUGCGAUAUGCCUUAAGUAUCAUAGUUAGACUACUAAAUUAUGCUAGUUUUAUAUAAGGUUAACAAGAAACCAUGAAAGAAUUACCUAUUUGAAACAAAAGAUGUCUGGAGAACCGUGUAUUGCUUAGCUGUGACAACAGUAUAAUAAUUAACAAUAUUAAAAUUAAUGCCAGAAACUGAAUGAUAAUGGGUACAGAACUUUUUUUUUAAUUUAGAAAAAUAUACCACAAGAAUUUUAACAGUAUAUUUCAUUUUAUAAUUCUUCUAUGUUUGAGGCUCACAUGAAAGGUAUAUGUUAUUUUGUAUGCAGGAAAAACAUCUGUAGCAUACUUGGUACUGGGGAUUUGAUCAAUGUAUUCUUCUGUAAGGUUUUAGGAACCACAGCUCUGUCUUUCUCGUUUCUGAGAUGGCUGCGGCUGUGGAUCAGCAGCAGGUUUCAUCAGCAUCGUGGGUAGUGAAAACUCCUGACAACUUGGCAGCAGGCAUUAAACCCAGCCACAUAAAGUUAGCCUAAGAGGGACUGGAUACAUUUCAUAAUGGCUUUCUGUGCCAAAUACCUGUAAGGAGAACCACCCUGCUCUUCUUACUAUGAAGUAACUAGAUUAAAAACAAACACAAAUGAUCUCAAGAUUUAAAAAAAAAAAUGAAGCUAAAGAACAUUGUAAAAAUGUUAAACUUUUCAAAAUAAAUAAUAUAGAUCAAACUUACCAUUUAACCAUGACUCAUCUAAGAAACAGAUUAUCAUGUGGCUUAAUUAAUUAAUAUACAAUUGACUUUCAAAUACAGCAGGAUGUUAAUCUCUAAGUAAUCAUUUUGUUUACAUUUUUACUUCUCAGUAUCUCUGUAUUCUGAAUAUUUUAGCAUUAUAGAAAUCCCACAUAUGAUUUAUUUUCAAAUCAAACAGAAAAACUUGCUAAAGAUUUAAAAUUUCUUCUUGGAACAAGAAACAAAUUGUUGCCUUUAAACUGGCAUUCUUUUUUUUAAUCACCCUGUUGACCUAUUUGCCUUUUUAUUUCAAGAAGUUUUUUUUUCUUAAUAAUCAGAAAAAAAAAUCUUCAUGGACAGAAGAGUCUUAUUAAAUUACUUUAUUUGGUUUGAAUAAUCU
rnacentral:lncRNA from 1 species